CCUACGGGGGGCAGCAGUGAGGAAUAUUGGUCAAUGGCCGGAAGGCUGAACCAGCCAUGCCGCGUGAAGGAGUAGUUCGGUAUGUAAAGCCCGAUCAGUAGGGAAGAACAAGGACGGUACCUGACGAAGAAGCACCGGCUAAAUACGUGCCAGCAGCCGCGGUAAUACGUAUGGUGCAAGCGUUAUCCGGAUUUACUGGGUGUAAAGGGAGCGCAGGCGGCGCGUUAAGCCGGGUGUGAAAGUCCGCGGCCCACCCGCGGGACUGCAUUGGGAACGGGCGCGCUGGAGUGCCGGAGGGGUAGGCGGAAUUCCUAGUGUAGCGGUGAAAUGCGUAGAUAUUAGGAGGAACACCAGUGGCGAAGGCGGCCUACUGGACGGUGACUGACGCUGAGGCUCGAACGCGUGGGGAGCACACAGGAUUAGAUACCCUGGUAGUC
rnacentral:rRNA from 1 species